GCAUUAUCCGACAUCCUCUCUAUAUAACAAAUACAUAAUUUCUCUGUCGAUGGCCAUACCACACGGUCAUUUACGGCAGGAAAAAAAGUGUGCGCAUGCGCCAUUAUUUGUUAUCAAAUUUUUUGCCGCAAGCGAUUCAUAAUGGCCACCAUCGCACGUGCUUUAAAUUUCCCUUAAAAACAAACGUUUUUCGAGCCUCUGCGGUAGAGAUAAUCUCUUAAAAAGUUUUAUUUUAGUAGAGCAGGCCUUGGACUAUACAAAAACUCUGGAUUCCACUACCCGAUCACUUUCACUUUUGUUUGGAGGAGACAGAAAGAAUAGCAAUGUUUUGAUCAUAAAAUUUUAUAUGUUGGUGGAAAAUGAAGAUAUUUGCCUUCCAACGCAAAGUCAUGCUUUAAGACAUGUUUUUCCUGAAAGCUGAUAGCCUAUUUUAUCAAAUAAAACCAGUGGUUUGUGGCUGCCACUUUUUUUCUGAAAGAAACUGGUCCUUGGAAAUGACCUUUCACAAGACUUCAUAAAUCGGGCACCAGUGCCAAAUUGUUCUAUGAUACAAAACAUGUUGGCACGAUUUCAUUGAAGUAAUUUUGACCCAACAAUUCACAAUUUCAAGCGUCAUUCAAACGUGAUUUGCAUGUGAAGAUUUGUUGACAGAGGCGGUUAAAAAAAAAGAUGGAACAAUGAUGAAACAGAGGAGCUUGCCGAUUUGCUCGAUUACCACUUUUUGUUGGAUGUGUUUGAAAUAAGAAUGUAUUCGUUAAAUACAGAUUAUGAAUUGAAAUAAAAAAUACUUGUAAUAGCCUAAUUUGUAAACUAUUUUUAUAUAAUUCAGAUUGACUUUCGUGGUGAAAAAUCUCACGAUUAAGGAAUGGUCUAGGCUGAAAUGUCUAAAAAUGUGUAAAUUGUUAGCUUUCGUUUAACACAUAUAUAACUGUACAA